UAUCUAAGCAACCUCAACCCCUUCUUAGCUACCACUUGCUUUCACCAACCAUGAGCAUUUGGUUUCCUUUCUUCUCCCAAAAAUGGGGUGGCUUCAAUCCCUCUUCUCUCCGCUCAAGAAGCUUUGGGUUAAACUACAUUCUGCCCACCACAAGAGUAGAGGGAUAUACAUAUUGUAUGAAGAUGUAAAGUCAUGUCCAUACGAAGAUGUGCAUGUACUUUGGUCUAUAUUGGUCGAGUCAACUCAUGUACCGCCUCAUCCCUUGGCUUUGCCACCAUUGAAUUGAAGCAACAUUCUUCCCGAAGAUGAUACCCGAGCAUCAUGUGUUUGUUGUACAUAAUCCAUCACUUUUUUUCCAAUCAAAUAUUGUUUUUGUCUCUGAGGUUUUUCGGGAAUUGUACUUCGAAAUUGAUUAAGUUAUUAUGAUACUCUUAUUCUCACA